CCGGGUGACAGGACAUCGCAGUCGAACGCUUUGUCUUUAACUGAUAUGACGAGCUUGCUCUGAUUUGAUUUUAUCUGACAAAGAGUGGCGAACGGGUGAGUAACACGUGGGUAACCUACCUCUUAGCAGGGGAUAACAUUUGGAAACAAGUGCUAAUACCGUAUAAUACCAACAACCGCAUGGUUGUUGGUUGAAAGAUGGUUCUGCUAUCACUAAGAGAUGGACCCGCGGUGCAUUAGCUAGUUGGUAAGGUAACGGCUUACCAAGGCAAUGAUGCAUAGCCGAGUUGAGAGACUGAUCGGCCACAAUGGGACUGAGACACGGCCCAUACUCCUACGGGAGGCAGCAGUAGGGAAUCUUCCACAAUGGGCGCAAGCCUGAUGGAGCAACGCCGCGUGUGUGAUGAAGGGUUUCGGCUCGUAAAACACUGUUAUAAGAGAAGAACGGCACUGAGAGUAACUGUUCAGUGUGUGACGGUAUCUUACCAGAAAGGAACGGCUAAAUACGUGCCAGCAGCCGCGGUAAUACGUAUGUUCCAAGCGUUAUCCGGAUUUAUUGGGCGUAAAGCGAGCGCAGACGGUUAUUUAAGUCUGAAGUGAAAGCCCUCAGCUCAACUGAGGAAUGGCUUUGGAAACUGGAUGACUUGAGUGCAGUAGAGGAAAGUGGAACUCCAUGUGUAGCGGUGAAAUGCGUAGAUAUAUGGAAGAACACCAGUGGCGAAGGCGGCUUUCUGGACUGUAACUGACGUUGAGGCUCGAAAGUGUGGGUAGCAAACAGGAUUAGAUACCCUGGUAGUCCACACCGUAAACGAUGAGUGCUAGAUGUUCGAGGGUUUCCGCCCUUGAGUGUCGCAGCUAACGCAUUAAGCACUCCGCCUGGGGAGUACGACCGCAAGGUUGAACUCAAGGAAUUGACGGGGACCCGCACAAGCGGUGGAGCAUGUGGUUUAAUUCGAAGCACGCGAAACCUUACCA
rnacentral:rRNA from 1 species